AGCGUUUCCGGUGGCGGCGGAGGCUGCACUGAGCGGGACCUGCGAGCAGCGCGGGCGGCAGCCCGGGGGAAGCGAGGCAUGGUCUUGCUUUGUCACCCAGGCUGGAGUGCAGCGGCAUGAUGAUAGCUCACUACAGCUCCAACUCUUGGGCUCAAGCGAUCCCCACACCCCACUGCCACCUCAGCCUCCUGAGUAGCUGCAACUAUAGGCAUGCACCACCAUGCCCGGAUAAGUUUUUAAAAUUUUUUGUAGAGAUGGGGUCUUGCCGUGUUGUCCAGGCUGGUCUCAAACGCCUGGGCUCAAGGGAUCUUCCCUCCUCGACCUCCCAAAGUGCUGGGAACAUAGGUGUGAGCUGCCGCACCCAUCCUAAAACUUUUCGUACCUUUAUUUUCUCCAGAGUAAUUCUAGGUAUCCAACAAGUAAAUAUUAAAAUACUAUGUACUUAUAAAGAGAAAUAUGUAGGAAACUAUUGAAAUUUAGUUAAGAUCAAUUGAGAUUUAUAGACAAACUUAGCUUUGAAUUUAGAUGGCCUUUUUGUCAUUUAUAGCAAAAUUAUCUUUAUAAAUAGG
rnacentral:sRNA from 1 species